AGAAUCAACGCUGGCGGCGUGCCUAACACAUGCAAGUCGCACGAGAAAGGGACUUCGGUCCUGAGUACAGUGGCGCACGGGUGAGUAACACGUGAAUCAUCUACCUCCGAGUGGGGAAUAACCUAGAGAAAUCUGGGCUAAUACCGCAUAGCACUUACGAGUCAAAGCAGCAAUGCGCUUGGAGAGGAGUUCGCGGCAGAUUAGUUAGUUGGCGGGGUAAUGGCCCACCAAGACGAUGAUCUGUA
rnacentral:rRNA from 1 species